GCUCUUAUAGCUCAGUUGGUAGAGCGCGGCACUAGUAUCCAUCACUGGGCCAUGCCGAGGUCUACGGUUCAACUCCGUAUGAGAGCA